ensembl:ncRNA T06H11.12 ncRNA
UGCAACAAGUGGGGUUAUUUGUAAGCAAAAACCUCUCAUAUUUUUCCGUCAUCAGUCAUUUCAUUGUACUUGAGGCAAUCUAUCUCCUCCUUAUAUGGGGUUUGAUUUUUAUGCGUACCCUUCGACUUCUCAGUGUACGCUAGGCACUC